rnacentral:misc_RNA from 1 species
AUCUGCAAAAUCAGGAACAAAUGAUAUGAUGCCCUUUCUCGUUACAUAGGGAUUUUAUAUUGAAAAUCAGAGCAAUAUUACUACUUUGCUUAAUUUUGAAGAAGUGACAUGAGUCUUUGAACUCUAAUGGAUACUAUUAACGGGUUAACAAUUUAAGUGGAAGUUUUUUCAUAUAAUUAUUAGCUUGUAAAACUUGCUGUUGUAGUAGCUUUAUACUUCAUGUUGCUGUGCAGACCCUCGACGAUGUAGUGAGAUACUUCAGGAAUACGUGUAGUAUGCUUCUCCCUGCUGAUAACCAGAUGC